rnacentral:rRNA from 1 species
CACUUUGACCUCGGAUCAGGUACGAUCUCAU